rnacentral:rRNA from 1 species
UACAGAGGGGGCAAGCGUUGUUCGGAAUUAUCUGGGCGUAAAGGGCGCGUAGGCGGCCUGUUAAGUCGGACGUGAAAUCCCCGUCGGCCUCAACCCGGGGAACUGCGUCUGAUACUGGCGGGCUUGAAUUCGGGAGAGGGAUGUGGAAUUCAGGUGUAGCGGUGAAAUGCGUAGAUAUCUGGAGGAACACCGGUGGCGAAGGCGGCAUCCUGGACCAACAUUGACGCUGAGGCGCGAAAGCCAGGGGAGCAAAGCGGGG